rnacentral:rRNA from 1 species
GACGAACGCUGGCGGCGUGCCUAAUACAUGCAAGUCGAGCGAAGGUUUGCUGGUGCUUGCUCCCGGAAAACUUCGCGGCGCACGUGUGAGUAACACGUAUAGAACCUGCCUCAUAGACUGGGACCACCAUGGGAAACGAUAUCAAAUACCGGAUAAUAUCAUUCACUGCAUGGCUGAAGUGUAAAACUGUGUUGUGCUAACAUAAAGAGAGGUCUUUGCUGUGCAUUAGCUAGUUGGUGGGGUAAAGGCAUACCAAGGCCACGAUGCAUAGCCGACCUGAGAGGGUGAUCGGCCACACUGGAACUGAGACACGGCCCAGACUCCUACGGGAGGCAGCAGUAGGGAAUCUUCCGCAAAGGGCGAAAGCCUGACGGAGCAACGCCGCGUGAGUGAUGAAGGAUUUCGGUUCGUAAAGCUCUGUUGUUAGGGAAGAAUGAUUGUGUAGUAAAUAGACCCAGUAGAGACGGUACCUAAUCAGAAAGCCACGGCUAACUACGUG